GGCUGGUCUGAGUGCAGUGUUGUUUACAACUAAUUGAUCACAACCCCAGUUACAGUUUUCUGUGUUCCUUCACUCCCACUGCUUCACUUGACUAGCCUUAA
ensembl:misc_RNA Y_RNA Y RNA